CAGGACGGGUUGGUGUAUAAUACACUCACUACCAUGGAAUAUCCUCCGCAAGCAUUCGUGUUGAGGUUCCGGUCUCGCGCAAUGGAUGCCUGUGAACCAUGUCAGGCGGGGAACCGAGCAGCAUUAAGCGGGACAACAUGUGCCGCGAGGGCGCCGGUUCGGAGCGGAUGCUUGCGGAGAAUCUUCCAUGGUCUUUCUA
rnacentral:SRP_RNA from 1 species